rnacentral:rRNA from 1 species
AGUGAACGCUGGCGGUAGGCCUAACACAUGCAAGUCGAACGGCAGCACAGUAGGUGCUUGCUCUUACGGGUGGCGCGUGUCGGACGGGUGAGGUAGACAUCGGAAUCUACAUUUUCGUGGGUGCUAACGCAGGGAAAGUUACGCUAAUACCGCAUACGUCCUAAGGAUGAAAGCAGGCGAUCUUCGGACCUUUCGCGAUGGUAUGAGCCGAUGUCGGCUUAGAUAGUUGGCGGGGUAAAGACCCACCCAGGCGACGAUCCGUAGCUGGCCUGAGGGGGUGAACAGCCACACUGGAAGUGAGAAAGGGCCGAGACACCGACGGGAGGCCGCAGUGGGGACUAUUAGACGAGGGGGGCAUGCCUGAUCCAGCGAUACCGCGUGAGUGAAGAAGGCCUUCGGGUUGUAGAACCCUUUUGUUGGGAGAGAAGAGAAGUACUUUAAUCCCCCGCUGUUCUGACGGUACCCAAAGAAUAAGCACCGGCUAACUUCGUG